GAUCGAAGUCACCCAGACUCCGAUCGGUGACCCGGCCAGAUUUCUAGUUUUCCGGCGUCCCCUCGGCCGAUCCUUCCCAUUUUCGUGAUCUCCUCCUCCCCCUGAUCAUCCCCAAGAUCUGAUCGUGCAUCCGAGAUUUAAUCCAACUUCAAAGCUUGAUCUAGGACGAUCUAGGCCGAACCGGACUUUGCUCCAGGUACUUGACGGUUUGAGUUGACGAGCGUUUGGAAUAUCGUUAUAAUUGACUUGUUAGAAGACGCAGCGGGAUUAGAGGUGAGUAAACCUCACGUGGUUCAUAUUACGAACCCAAUAAAUUUAAUUACUUUAUUUUUGUCGUAAUUAUGUGAAAAUAUGUAUGGAAUAAAU